AGCGGGGCGGGGCGAGGAGACCCUCCCAGCUCCCGCGGACCCCACACGCACCCCGCCCUGCCCGUGAAUCGGGGCCCCAGAUUCUGGGCCGGCACACCUGUCCUCAGGUGACUCGGGGACAGUGGCGAUCCCAGGCGCAGACCUGCUGCCGAAGAUGUCCUCUGGGAACAGAAUGUCUGGUUGUUUCUGUUUCAUUAUCCUUUGUCUCCCUUCCUGCGAUGUCCUUUGCUUUGCUUUUAUUUCGGCUUAUUUCGGUUUUCAUCCAGCUCUCCAAUCUCUGAUUGUAUCCCGUUAUCAGUAAGGCUAAAAGCACAGCACCAAAGGCGGUGAACCAGGUCACAUCCUCGGCAGCAGUAAGAGCCCUGUGUCCCGUCCUUAUGGUGCUUUGGCCCUGGAGCCAAGGGUCAACUUUGCUCGUUUCCUAAGGCCUUGAACAAGGGGUCAACCUGGCCACCAGGUAUGUCAGAAUAGUCUUGUGGAUGAGUCUUCCACAGAUGGGACAAGGAGACCUGAUUUGCAGGGUUCCCGUAGACCUGGCAAGAGGCGGAUUAGGCACCUCUGCGGGGAUCCAGUGAAAGCCACCUUGCUAACCCCGCUCCUUUGCAUCCAGGUGAAUGGGGUGCAGAGGCAGGCUGCAGGUGGGAUUCAGGUUGAGCCCACACAUCUCUUACCCAGCCCUGAGAACCCAGAUUCUUCACACUCACCAGGAGUUCGUUUCGGGACCAUAACCCAGCAACAGUCAUGUACCUUUUGGGCAGAGGGACCCACACUCCACUCCCUCCCCUCUGGAGGCCUAAGUGGACUCCUGGAAGCCUGCCCACUUUUGUGGAGACUCGAAGGUCCCUGGAGGCCUGGAGCCACUUCAUCAUCCCCAUGAGGUGCAUGGGCACCCCUAAAGUUCCUGCCAACUCUGGGAAGGAAAAGAGCAGCUCAUCUCUUGGCUCCACUCGACAAACAAGACAAUGGGGCUAGUUGGCGUGUUACCCAUCCAAGCAGAGUUCAGCCCUGUCACGUGGCCCUCAGUCCUGCCACACAGCACUGCUCUACCAGCUGCAGGGCCUCUGUGCCUGGACAGCAGGUACCGUGCAAGGAGCCAGAGCUGAGUGUGAGUGCACGUGCAGCCCUGCUGACCCAGGCUGUAGGCCGGUCCACCUCCACCUCUACGGCUCACCUGGCUGUACCCUCGAGCUCAGCCCACGGCACAGGAGCACACUUUUACCUCGUGGUGAGCCGGGAUGUGGGGAGCAGGCACACUAAAUCCUGCCCACAAUCCACGUUGCUCCUGAAGCCUUCCGCACACCCCAGAAGGGCUGCAGGAGGACUGCUCCCCAGCUGCCUGGCUGCCGCUUCCACCACCCACUAUCCGGUCUGUCACCUGACCUAUCAAAUACUUGGGGUAGGUGGGGCCGGGCCUGUGGGGCCCCAAGAUUCUGAGAGCAAGCAGAACCCAGAGAAGAUCAGGAGGCAAGAGGCCAGGGCCUGCGCAGCUGCUCUGGUGAAAACAAAGGAAAACACAAAACAAAACAAAGUGCUCUGGACUUCACUCUCCUCCCUUUUGACAUCAGAAUUAUAUCCAUCACAGCCAGGAGUGGUGGUGCACAUCAGCUCCGGGGGCUGAGGCAGGAGGAUCAAGAGUUUGAGGUCAGCGUGGGCAACUUAGUGAGACCCCGUCUCAAAAUAGAAAAGGGGAGGGGCCCUGGGGAGGGGGUGUU
rnacentral:lncRNA from 1 species